rnacentral:rRNA from 1 species
UACGUAGGGGCGAGCGUUGUCCGGAGUUACUGGGCGUAAAGGGCGUGCAGGCGGUGCGGUAAGUUUAGCGUGACAGUCUCCGGCUUAACUGGAGAAGGCCGCUGAAAACUGCUGACUUGAGGGCCAGAGAGGGACAUAGAAUUCCGGGUGGAGUGGUGAAAUGCGUAGAUAUCCGGAGGAAUACCAAAGGCGAAGGCAGUGUCCUGGCUGGCAACUGACGCUGAGGCGCGAAAGCUAGGGGGGAGCGAACAGG